rnacentral:rRNA from 1 species
GCAAGUGCCUGUAUGAGUGUUUAUACAACGAAACUGCGAAUGGCUCGGUAAAACAGCAAUAAUUUAUUCGGGGGUAACUGCUACUUGGAUAACCGUAGUAAAGCUAGAGCUAAUACGUGCUACAACGGCGAGAUAUCGUCUCGUGGUACUAAGUAUUAGGUACAAGCCAAUUUUAUUGGUGAUUCAUACUUAUCUUCUGAUCGCACUAUGUGCGACGCCCCGAAUAAAUUUCUGACCUAUCAACUAUGAUGGUAAGGUAGUGUCUUACCAUGGUUGUGACGGGUAACGGACCGUGGGUGCGGGAUUCCGGAGAGGGAGCCUGAGAAACGGCUACCACAUCCAAGGAAGGCAGCAGGCGCGCAACUUACCCAAUCCGAACUUCGGGAGGUAGUGACAAAAAAUAUCAAUAGGGGGACCAAUGGUCUUUCUAAUUGGAAUGAAAACAAUCUAAACACCUUAUUGAGGAACCAGCAGAGGGCAAGUCUGGUGCCAGCAGCCGCGGUAAUUCCAGCUCUGUAAGCGUAUACCAAAGUUGUUGCAGUUAAAACGCUCGUAGUCGAAUUUUGGCGUGAGUUUCUGAGACUCCUACUGGAUGUUGACGUAUCUCCGCCUUUGUGGAGGGGGGUGUGGUGGUGCUUCAUUGUAUCGCUGCAUUUCCGCCACUGUUUACUGUGAAAAAAUUAGAGUGUUCAAAGCGAGCGUUUGCCAUGAAUACAUUAGCAUGGAAUAAUAGAAUAGGACCUGGUUCUGUUUUAUUGGUUUGUCUGUAUCAGGUAAUGAUUAACAGGGACGGUCGGGGGCAUUUGUAUUCCGGGGUUAGAGGUGAAAUUCUUGGAUCCUCGGAAGACAAACAGCUGCGAAAGCGUCUGCCAAGGACGUUUUCAUUGAUCAAGAACGAAAGUAAGGGGAUCGAAGACGAUCAGAUACCGUCGUAGUCUUUACUAUAAACGAUGAGGACUGGGGAUGAGACGUGGCCUAUUGGUACGUUUCGCACCCUCCGGGAAACCAAAGUAUUUGCUUUCUGGGGGGAGUAUGGUCG